rnacentral:rRNA from 1 species
AUUGAACGCUGGCGGCGUGCUUAACACAUGCAAGUCGAGCGGCAGCGCGGGAGCAAUCCUGGCGGCGAGCGGCGAACGGGUGAGUAAUGCUUCGGAAUCUGCCCUUCAGUGGGGAAUAACCAGUCGAAAGACUGGCUAAUACCGCAUACGAACUGAGGUUGAAAGCAGGGGAUCGCAAGACCUCUCGCUAUUGGAGCGGCCGAUGUCAGAUUAGGUAGUUGGUGGGGUAAUUGCCUACCAAGGCGACGAUCAGUAGCUGGUCUGAGAGGACGACCAGUCACACUGGGACUGAGACACGGCCCAGACUCCUACGGGAGGCAGCAGUGGGGAAUUUUGGACAAUGGGCGAAAGCCUGAUCCAGCAAUGCCGCGUGUGUGAAGAAGGCCUC